UCCCGUUGAUCCUGCGGGAGGUUGCUGCUAUUGGGAUUCGACUAAGCCAUGCAAGUCAAGGGGACUUGGGUCACCGGCAGACUGCUCAGUAACACGUCGAUAAUCUGCCCUUAGGUCAGGGAUAACCUCGGGAAACUGAGGCUAAUACCUGAUAUGGAAAUUCUUCUGGAAUGAUUUUUUCCUUAAAGAUUACGCCUAAGGAUGAGACGGCGGCGGAUUAGGCUGUUGGCGGGGUAAUGGCCCACCAAACCUAAGAUCCGUAGGGGCCUUGAGAGAGGUAGCCCCGAGAAGGACACUGAGAUACUGGUCCUAACCCCACGGGGUGCAGCAGGCGCGAAACCUUUACACUGCACGAAAGUGUGAUAAGGGAAUCCCAAGUGCUUAUGCUUUGCAUAGGCUUUUGCCAAGAGUAAAUAUCUUGGCGAAUAAGUGGUGGGAAAGACUGGUGCCAGCCGCCGCGGUAACACCAGCGCCACAAGUGGGGACCACAUUUAUUGGGCCUAAAGCGUCCGUAGCCGGCUUGAAAAAUCGUUUGUGAAAUCGUUGGGCUCAACUCAACGGCGCGCAGAUGACACUCUCAAGCUUGGAACCGGGAGGAGUCAGAGGUAUUCUUGGGGGAGCGGUAAAAUGCUAUAAUCCCUUGAAGACCACCAGUGGCGAAGGCGUCUGACUAGAACGGAUUCGACGGUGAGGGACGAAAGCCAGGGGAGCGAACCGGAUUAGAUACCCGAGUAGUCCUGGCCGUAAACGCUGCGAGCAAGGUGUUGCAUAUUCUACAUGAAUAUGCAGUGUCGAAACGAAGGUGUUAAGCUCGCCGCCUGGGAAGUAUGGUCGCAAGACUGAAACUUAAAGGAAUUGGCGGGGGAGCACCACAAGGGGUGCGGCGUGCGGUUUAAUCUAACUCAACGCAGAAAAUCUCACCAGGGGCGACGGCAGGAUGAGAGUCAGGCUGAAGACCUUACUUGACGAGCCGAGAGGUAGUGCAUGGCCGCCGUCAGCUCGUGCCGUGAGGUGUCCUCUUAAGUGAGGCAACGAGCGAGACCUGUACCUACAAUUGCUAACGAGCUUUGUGAUCGAGCACAUUGUGGGGACUGCCUUGGAAACAAGGAGGAAGGUGCAGGCAACGGUAGGUCUGUAUGCUCCGAAUCCUCUGGGCUACACGCGCGCAACAAUGGUAGGGACAAUGGGAUACGACUCCGAAAGGAGAAGUUAAACCUCUAAACCCUAUCCUAGUCCAGAUUGAGGGCUGAAACUCGCCCUCAUGACGACGGAAUCCCUAGUAAUCGGACGUCAACAUCGUCCGGUGAAUGUGUCCCUGCUCCUUGCACACACCGCCCGUCAAACCAACCGAGCAGGGUUUAGAUGAGUCUUACUUUCUUGAGUUAGCCGAAUCUAAGCUCAGUAAGGUGGGUUAAGUCGUCACAAGGUA
rnacentral:rRNA from 1 species